GUUUCUGUAGUUGAAUUACAACGAUGAUUUUUCAUGUCAUUGGUCGCAGUUGAAAGCUGUGUAGAAACA
rnacentral:tRNA from 1 species